GUGUAGCGGCUGUCUGUGACCUAGCGGCACUAAGGGAGAUGGAGGGCUUCUCGGCCUUGCAUCACUUGAGUCAUGUGUGCUGAAGUCGGGUCCGACCCAAGCUGGGUGUCAACAUAGUCCACUCUACGGAAGUAGAGCGGCCUCGGUUGACUAAGGAGGGGGGGAACGCGUCAGGCCGGAAACGGAACAGCGAGAACCCGCCGCACUCGGCAGUGG
rnacentral:SRP_RNA from 1 species